GACGAACGCUGGCUGCGUGCUUAACACAUGCAAGUCGAACGCUGAAGCUCAGCUUGCUGGGUGGAUGAGUGGCGAACGGGUGAGUAACACGUGAGUAACCUGCCCUCUUCUUUGGGAUAACGCCCGGAAACGGGUGCUAAUACUGGAUAUUCACUGAUUCUCGCCUGGGGGUUGGUGGAAAGGUUUUUUCUGGUGGGGGAUGGGCUCGCGGCCUAUCAGCUUGUUGGUGGGGUGAUGGCAUACCAAGGCUUUGACGGGUAGCCGGCCUGAGAGGGUGACCGGUCACAUUGGGAGUGAGAUACUGCACAGACUUCUACGGGAGGCAGGAGUGGGGAAUAUUGCACAAUGGGCGAAAGCCAGAUGCAGCGACGCCGCGUGAGGGAUGGAGGCCUUCGGGUUGUAAACCUCUUUCGCUCAUGGUCAAGCCGCAGCUUUGGGUUGUGGUGAGGGUAGUGGGUAAAGAAGCGCCGGCUAACUACGUG
rnacentral:rRNA from 1 species